UCUCGCUGGUGUAGAUUUUGUCCUGUUUUGGUUGUGAGGAUGAGGGGCUGGUGUGGAUCAACAGUCCUGAGGGGGAAGCAGGAAUCCCAGAAGACGGAGGGUCAGGCUGGGGAAUGCAGUUCUGGAAGCUGAGAGCAGAGUGCCCAGUCCUUUCACAUCAGUUUGCCAUAGUGCUGCAUUCAGGAGCUUCUGUCCAAGACACAAAGCCUGGCUGGCCUGUCAUUUCUUAAUAAUCCAGCAAGCUUCCAGGACUGACUUCAUCCUUCUGUCCAUUCAAUCAUCCAUCCAUCCACUUACCCAUCCAUCUAUCCAAAGGGGCACAAGGACACUUUUAGGGCUGAUGGAUGUGUUCACUGUCUUGACUGCUAUGAUGGUUUUAUGGGUGUGUACAUGUGUUAGAACUGGUAAAGUGGUAUACUUUAAAUGUGUGCAUGUGAGUGUACCUUAAUUAUAUUUCAAUAAAGUUGGAAAAAAGGAA